rnacentral:rRNA from 1 species
CCUACGGGUGGCAGCAGUGAGGAAUAUUGGUCAAUGGGCGUAAGCCUGAACCAGCCAAGCCGCGUGAGGGAUGAAGGUCCUAUGGAUCGUAAACCUCUUUUAUCAGGGAAUAAAGUGCGGGACGUGUCCUCUUUUGUAUGUACCUUAUGAAUAAGGAUCGGCUAACUCCGUGCCAGCAGCCGAGGUAAUACGGAGGGUCCGAGCGUUACCCGGAUUUAUUGGGUUUAAAGGGUGCGUAGGCGGCCUUUUAAGUCAGAGGUGAAAGUCUGUGGCUCAACCAUGGAAUUGCCGUUGAGACUGGGGGGCUUGAGUAUGUUAGAGGGGGGCAGAAUGCGUGGUGUAGCGGUGAAAUGCUUAGAGAUCACGCAGAACCCCGAUUGCGAAGGCGGCCUGCCGAGCCAUGACUGACGCUGAUGCGCGAAAGCGUGGGGAUCAAACAGGAUUAGAUACCCUGGUAGUC